GUACACUCCUGCGGGAGGCAGCAGUGGGGAAUAUUGGACAAUGGGCGCAAGCCUGAUCCAGCCAUGCCGCGUGAGUGAUGAAGGCCCUAGGGUUGUAAAGCUCUUUCACCGGUGAAGAUAAUGACGGUAACCGGAGAAGAAGCCCCGGCUAACUUCGUGCCAGCAGCCGCGGUAAUACGAAGGGGGCUAGCGUUGUUCGGAUUUACUGGGCGUAAAGCGCACGUAGGCGGACUAUUAAGUCAGGGGUGAAAUCCCGGGGCUCAACCCCGGAACUGCCUUUGAUACUGGUAGUCUUGAGGUCGAGAGAGGUGAGUGGAAUUCCGAGUGUAGAGGUGAAAUUCGUAGAUAUUCGGAGGAACACCAGUGGCGAAGGCGGCUCACUGGCUCGAUACUGACGCUGAGGUGCGAAAGCGUGGGGAGCAAACAGGAUUAGAAACCCGGCC
rnacentral:rRNA from 1 species